rnacentral:sRNA from 1 species
GUCCAAUAUGAAAUAGACUUUAUAAAUAGUACUUUAUAGGUAGUACAAAUAGAUAACUGUUAUACAGUAAAAUUGAUUUGAAUUGAUUUGAAUUAAUUUUUAACUUUUUUCAACUUUUUGAAUUUUAAUUUUAUAGGUUAAUUUCACCUACCAGUUUUUGAAAAAGAAGUUCUAUAUAUUUAGCCAAUUUAUGUAUGAUGAACACAUCAAAUCCAGAUUGAUUAAAGAUAUUCGAUUUUUCAGGGAAAUUAAGGACCAAAAUGAUCAUAAGUAUCCUUUUGAAAGAGCAGAAAAAUUCAAUCGAGGCAUCAGAAAACUUGGAAUAACACCUGAGGGACAGAGCUACCUUGAUCAAUUCAGGCAACUCAUCAGCCAAAUUGGUAAUGCUAUGGGCUAUGUACGAAUGAUAAGAUCUGGUGGUCUUCAUUGUAGCAGCAAUGCCAUUAGAUUUGUUCCUGAUCUUGAAGAUAUUGUAAAUUUUGAAGAACUAGUAAAAGAAGAAGGUCUUGCAGAAGAAACGUUAAAAGCAGCAAGGCAUUUGGAUUCAGUCCUCAGUGAUCACACACGAAAUUCUGCCGAAGGCACAGAAUAUUUCAAAAUGCUUGUAGACGUUUUUGCUCCAGAAUUU